rnacentral:rRNA from 1 species
UACGUAGGGCGCAAGCGUUGUCCGGAAUUAUUGGGCGUAAAGAGCUCGUAGGCGGUUUGUCGCGUCGGAUGUGAAAGCCCGGGGCUUAACCCCGGGUCUGCAUUCGAUACGGGCAGACUGGAGUGUGGUAGGGGAGAUCGGAAUUCCUGGUGUAGCGGUGAAAUGCGCAGAUAUCGGGAGGAACACCAGUGGCGAAGGCGACUACCUGGCCUGUUCUUGACGCUGAGGCGCGAAAGCUAGGGGAGCAAACGGG